rnacentral:tRNA from 1 species
GCCCGCGUAGCUCAGUAGGUAGAGCGCAUCCAUGGUAAGGAUGAGGUCACCAGUUCAAUUCUGGUUGCGGGCUCCA